UGGGGAAUUUUCCGCAAUGGGCGAAAGCCUGACGGAGCAAUACCGCGUGGGGGAGGAAGGUCUUUGGAUUGUAAACCUCUUUUCUGAAGGAAGAAGCUCUGACGGUACUUCAGGAAUAAGCAUCGGCUAACUCCGUGCCAGCAGCCGCGGUAAUACGGAGGAUGCAAGCGUUAUCCGGAAUUAUUGGGCGUAAAGCGUCCGUAGGUGGUGAUACAAGUCUGUCGUCAAAGCAGGUUGCUUAACGACCUAAAGGCGGUGGAAACUGUAUGACUAGAGUUCGGUAGGGGUAGCGGGAAUUCCCAGUGUAGCGGUGAAAUGCGUAGAUAUUGGGAAGAACAUCGGUGGCGAAAGCGCGCUACUGGGCCGAAACUGACACUGAGGGACGAAAGCUAGGGGAGCG
rnacentral:rRNA from 1 species